GACCCCAGGUCAGGCGGGAUUACCCGCUGAAUUUAAGCAUAUCAAUA
rnacentral:rRNA from 1 species